GUCGAGGGGUAAAUGGUAGCAAUACUAUGAGACCGGCGGACGGGUGCGUAACGCGUAUGCAACAUACCUUGUGCAGGGGGAUAGCCCGUGGAAACGCGGAUUAAUAUUCCAUAGUCCAGCUAUAUCGCAUGGUAUAGUUGGUAAAGAUUUAUCGGCACAAGUUUGGCAUGCGUCUGAUUAGCUUGUUGGUAGGGUAACGGCCUACCAAGGCUACGAUCAGUAGGGGUUCUGAGAGGAUUAACCCCCACACUGGUACUGAGACACGGACCAGACUCCUACGGGAGGCAGCAGUGAGGAAUAUUGGUCAAUGGGCGGAAGCCUGAACCAGCCAUCCCGCGUGAAGGAAGACAGCCUUACGGGUUGUAAACUUCUUUUCUGUCAGAAGAAUAAGCUUGUCGAGACGAGUGAUGCCGGUAUGACAGGAAUAAGCAUCGGCUAACUCCGUGCCAGCAGCCGCGGUAAUACGGAGGAUGCAAGCGUUAUCCGGAUUUAUUGGGUUUAAAGGGUGCGCAGGUUGUUUGAUAAGUCAGUGGUGAAAGUCUGUCGCUUAACGGUAGGAUUGCCAUUGAUACUGUUGGACUUGAAUAUGGAUGAGGUAGGCGGAAUGUGUAGUGUAGCGGUGAAAUGCAUAGAUAUUACACAGAACACCGAUUGCGAA
rnacentral:rRNA from 1 species